UCGGACAUGGUGUACGGUACACGGCUUCUUUGCAUAAUCUCUCCAGCGAAGUAUUCGGAGGCAGCUCGGGGUUCGACUCCCCGUGUCUGAA